rfam:Cicer arietinum chromosome Ca1, whole genome shotgun sequence.
UUGGGUAUGAGAUAUUGGUACAGUUCAAUCAAAAGGACGUGUUUUAUGAAUCUAAAGCUUUCUUAUUUGAUUGAGCCGUGCCAAUAUCACAUAUAACUAU